GAAAACUCUAGAGAAAAAGAGAAGAAUAGAGGAGAAGAAACUAGAGAGGGAGAGAGAGAGCCACGGUUUUGGAAGGGAAAAAAAGUAAGUUCUUCAAUUCCGGUUCGAGAAAUAAUUAUAUAGAGUAUACCAUGAUGUCAUGAAGGUAUUAUUAAUGAAAAUUUAUGGUUUGGAGCAUUUCAAAACGUCACCAAACAGCCCCAAAGUUUUAGCCGCGCUAGAAGAGCUUCCGAGGCAAGUUUUGGAGAGUUUCGGUAAAGAAAAACAAGUUGGAAGAAUAAGAAAAGCUAGUAAGGCGGUACAGGUACACACAGACAAGUAGAAGUUACUAUAGAAGAUGUUCCAGCAGGGUUAGCAACUCCACUUGUUCCUGGAGUGCGGCCGAGUCAGAGUAUAUGCGAUAUGAUGUUUCGUUCAAAGUUAGAGACUUUGCAGACAGAGUUGUGGGUAUAGAGUGUCAUCUUUGUAAGCGGCGUCACCAGCCGAUAUGUUAUUAUGUCGCAUGAGAUGAUAGAUUUUGGAUAGCAAGAUUUGGAAAGCGUAGAUAUGUUUUUCAUUUCUUUUUGAUGUGAAAUUCUAAAGAGAUUGAGAAUGUAAUAUGAGUUAGUGGGUUCGCUCGGCUCCGAGCACGGGGUCGGGUGCCCAUCACACCCUAUUGAUAUCGGGGUGUGACAAUACCCCUUUCCUAAAUAUUUCCUUUAUAUACCCCUUCGACCAAACUAAUUACCCUUGUACCACCUUUAAUUAUUUUAAAUUCGUACAUGAUGUCAGCGUCCACCCUACAUGAUACCGAUAGGGUAUCAUAUACCGAUAAAGUAUCAU